GGACUGGAUCUGGUGAUUGGUGACAUUUAUGUGGCUUUCACAGUAGGAUGGCUCUGAGUGCGAGGUCCUCUGCUGGCUUUUCUAUAGCCAGAGCGUCCAGGCUAGGAGCACAGCACGACCUUCAUCCCUGGACUGCAAUGAACCCAAGGAAGCUAUGGAGAAAGCUGGGGCAGGGUCAGGCUCCGCCCCAGAUACAGGGCUGUAGCAGUGGCCAGGAAGAAAACUGCCCCCACUGGAGGUUGUUUUUGUGAUUGUUCUUUGGAGCAUUGUUCUAAAAAUGGAAAAUUACAUCUUGCCAUGCCAAAGGAAACAAACACCUGCAGUUGAAGGGACACCUUCUUUGAGGUGGCUUUUUGGAGCAAGCACAUUGUAGCUACGGCCAUUUCUGGAUAGAGGCUGUGGCAGAAGUUUGACGGGAGAUUUCUUUUUGCUUGCAAGGGAUGGGAUGUGGGUUUAUUUUUGUAACUAGGGUGGGCUUUGGCAGCUAUGGGUAUAGGUGACUAUCUACUUAUCCACCCAAUAAACAUUUAUCAAGCAUCA